AUGUUUGGCAUUUUACCGUCAUUCUGGGUGCCCAUGGCGGCUCUGAAUUUCUCUGGGUCAGCCGCUGCUUGGCUGCAGUCCAUACAGAAGCGGCUCGUAGAUUUCGACUGGGAAGCAUUUACCUCUUUACUUUGCACUCGUUUCGGGCGCGAUCGGCACCAGACGCUGAUCAGACAGUUUUAUACUGUCCGCCAAACAUCUUCAGUAGCGCAUUACAUCGAGCAGUUUGAAUUGAUCAUCAAUCACUUGUCAUCAUAUUCUGACACGAGCCAUCCUUUUUAUUUCUUGACGCGUUUUGUCGAGGGACUAAGGAGGGACAUUCGGGCAGUGGUGCUGGUGCAAUGCUCACCGGACCUGGAUACGGCGUCCGUGCUCGCUCUACUUCAGGAAGAGGUGGCCGAGGGCGCGUUCGACAGUCUUCCACGCCCACCGGAGCCGGCCUAG
rnacentral:rRNA from 1 species